CUGAAGUGAAGAGAGAGGUGAGAGCUUUCCACCAUUGUUACUAUUCACUUCAAACUUCCCAAGCUCAUAUCUUGAGCUACGGAGCUCUGAUCGCCGCACCGUUUGCGGCUACGCGUUCCUUGUGAAGAGCUCUACAAAACCCACCCAAGAAACCCUCAAGUUAAUCACGAAAUCCUUCCAGUUCUGCUCUUCAAAAUUUCGGGUUUUAUUAGAGUUUUGGGUUAAAUGGGUUUUUGUAAUUUUGGAUGUUUAGGUUUGCUCUAAUCCUUGCUUAGCUUUGGAUUUGUGUUGUCAAAUCUGUUGGGAAAGUUUGAUUAUUGUGGCUUUGGGAGGUUUUGGAACUUAUUUGUGCUUGUUGGAGUGGAUUUGAAAGCUUGGAUUGUGGUUGGAAGCUUGUUGGUGCUCAUUUUGAGUUUGGGUGCAUAAAGGGAAUCGGCCAAGAUGCAGGUCGCAACCCAUCUCGGUGAGUUGCUUUGGUUGGUGACAGGAGCGGAGAAUCUUGGGUCAUUUUGAGUUCUUUUUGGUUUAUUUUGUUUAUACAUCUCUCCUUUUGUAUUUUGUUUUGCCUAGAGGCAUGUAUUUGAGAGAACAAAACUUGUAUAAGCUGUUUUCACUGUAUGGUUUUGUAUAUCAGUAUAUGG